CUCUCUGCGGAAGCCAGCCACCGCUCUCCAAGGACUCUCGAGCAGCUCCAUCUACAGAUUCACAUGGAGAAGAAUUAAGGGUUCCUGCCAAUCACCAGCACCACUUUGCCAGCCUUGUAAGUGGGCCACCUUGGAAUUGGAGCCUCCAGUUCCUACUGACAUCUGACUGCAACAUCAUGAGAGACCCUGAGUUUGAACCACCCAGCUGAGCUGCUUCUGAGCUAACCCACUGAAACCACAGUUGGCAUCUGUGUGAAGAUGUGAAUGGAGGAGGCAGAGUAGGCAGUGAGUGCCGCAGCCACAGCUUGUGUUCUCUGCAGCCCUGGCACAGAAGAUAGGAACACUCAUGGGGGAUGCGGCCACUGUGAUGUCUUCCCACACAAGAAGUGCCAAGUGCUUUUCUCAUGCUUUUCUGGAUUGUCCCAUGGUGGACGAGUCAGCAGGAGUGAGAUGGAGCAGCACAGUAGAGGGGUGUGCCACCUCUUUGAUCCAGCAAGUGGGAAGAACAGUCCCGGCCUCUUUGCACACAAGACCGUGAUACCAAUGCACCAUCACAGGCCCCACAGGGGAGCUGUCCGCUUCCCCACACAGCUGCUAGGGGCUCUUUUGCAUGUUCCCAACCUUUCCUGCCUUUAUCUGAUAUUCGUUCCUUAGAUCCUGGGAUGAGGAGGUGGACCAGCAGAAGGUGGGCUUGUGAAGGCAGCCCGGGGUCCAAAUCCUCCUGGCUCUUCAGCUUAGCGGGUUAGUUAACAUUCAGAAGCCUUCAUCUCCCAUCUGCAAAAUGGGCAUGUCCAACUCAGAAGCUGCCUUGAAGAAAGGGUCUACCCAGCAUGGUGCGUGGAGCCUAAGCAGUCAGUACUUCAGGACUUCACCCGGCCCCUUUCCAAUAACUGCUGCUGUCGCCCUCACAGGAUGUCACCUUCAGCGUCUGAAAGCUGGGUUUGAUGCGUCUGGAAAGGCGUCCCUGACAGGCGUCGUUGCCAGGAGCCCCUAGUGCCACCAGCAGCCAGCAGGGGAGGGCGUCCUCUGCCCGCUCACUUCUGACCCUUCUCUCGUUGCACCCGGAACAUGGUGCAGCUGGGAGCAGCCUGGGCUGCGCGGAAGGCUCAGAUUUGGGGACGGCCCUUGCCAGUGACUGUGAGCUGGGGUGUCUUGGAAACUCCCAGUCUCAGCUUCUCCAUUUAUAAGAUGAGAAUGAUCAUACCAGACUCAGGCAAGGUUGUUUGUGCAUUAGUGAAAUCAGACGUAUUAAAUAAAGUACCACAUUGAUCGUGGAGUUGUUGAAUAACCAAGAACACGCCUAUCUGUCUCCAAAAAAUAAAUGUUGAAAAUGA
rnacentral:lncRNA from 1 species